UUACAGGCUAUGAUAAAGACAGUAGCCGGCACGAAGCAGCGCAGCGAUUCCGGGACAGUGCAAGCCGGAACAGGACAGAAGGCCGGUGAAAAUCACUUUGGAGCUUCCGUACAGAAACAGCAGUAAGUACGGACGGGGUAACGCACGUUAACGGCGUUGAGAGUGGCGCGUAAAUACUGCGUCAUUAGGGUGGUACCACGGGUUAUACAGUCUCGUCCCUUUG
rnacentral:ncRNA from 1 species